UCGCACUUAAGUAAUUGGCUAGAUUGCCGCCGACGAGUUAGCCUCUGAACUCAGAUGCUAACUGAGUCCCGCUCUAAAUAUUUUUGUUUGUUGGCACGCUAAUAAAUUAAAACCAAUUAAAAAAUUGGUUAUUACAAAAAUCUUGUUUUAUUAAUUUCGAUCUUCUUAAACCAGGAACUCUUGAAACCAGGGUAAUAUUGAUUAUUAUAAGGUUUAUGUACAAAAUAAACGAUUAUGGAUAUUAUACAACGGUUACAGUUAAUAUUUGGCUUUAUAUCAACGGAGUAAUAUUCAAUAGCAAAAUCAAGUCUCAAACUGACGUUAUUUGCCACCUUGCACCGGGGACUAAAACUCAUUAUUUGUUAAGUUAAAUUGUAUAAUAAUUAUUUAAGUAAUUAGUUUGAACUCAUUAAUGGGUUUAAGAAAUGUUUAUCUUUGCUCAACUUACUAAGACAUGUUUCAGUUUCUCACAAAUCCCUAUAAAUAGGUCAUAAUAAUCGAACUUUGAGUUUAAUAUUCGAUCGAAAUAGAUAUCAAAGAAUGGCUGAGCUUUAAAAAAUACUUACACGGCACUGGGUAUUUGUGGUACUGGCUGCGGAUGGCUCUGGGUUAAGUAUCCCUUCUCAGCAAAUUGGACAAAUGCUUCGGGACUGUAUUGUUUGGCCAAAUACCGGUACAUCUUUCCCUGCCUCAAG